CCGCGAACGGGUGAGUAACACGUGGGUUACCUGCCCCGAUGAUUGGGACAACCCGAGGAAACUCGGGCUAAUACCAAAUGUGCUCCUGGCCGUAAUGGCCUUGAGGAAAGGAAGCUUCGGCCUCCGCAUCGGGAUGGGCCCGCGGCCCAUUAGCUUGUUGGUGGGGUAACGGCCUACCAAGGCGACGAUGGGUAGCCGGCCUGAGAGGGCACACGGCCACACUGGCACUGAAACACGGGCCAG
rnacentral:rRNA from 1 species